UAAAUUAUAAAAUCAACAUGAUUAUUGUUACUACUUGUAAUAUAAAUUUCGUACAGAAAGUCCUUGACCUUGGUGGAUUUCUUAUUUACAAUAUGAUGUUAUGCUUAUAAAUAAUAAAGCCUAUUGUUACAUUAUGUGUCACUUACCUAAUUAAUUUCCUUUAUCAAAGUAAUACAUCAUAACCAUGUGAUUACUAUCAAUUAAUACAUCAUAACCAUGCAUGUGUUACAUCAUUUAACAUGUAAUACAUCAUACCCAUGUUAUGUGAUUACAUGUGUUUUAACGGGAUCCGGUUAGCGUGAAGUUUAUUUUUUGGUAAGUUGGUCAAUUGGUCAAUAGAAUGCUGACACACAUAGAAUCUCACAUGCGUGUCAAUAUUCUAUUGGCCAAUUGACCAACUUACCCAAAAAUAAACUUCAUGCUAACCACUUCCGUUUUAACGCGUGACAGGCUUCUCAAAAAUUGACUUAUUCCAUUCCAAAACAUGGACUCCCAUUUUAAGACAGAUUCAGUUAAUCUUUGGCAGUCCACCAUCGGACUUCGGCAAGAUAAGAAAUUACAUAGCCCCGAAAUGUCCAACCAUAGUACAUCAAAAUUUGAAAAAUAAGAAAGGGGAAGUAGCCCAUCUCCAUCAACAAAUUACUUGGCCUUUGGCAACAUCAUACUCAAAAAUAAAUGGACAUGCUUCAGUACUCCCAUCCUAAUUUGUCACUUCGGUCUUUGGUAAUUUAGGGUUGACCUCAGGAGGCUGAUGAGGACUUCAUCCUCCCAUGGUCCCCCAUCUUACCCCCAAGCAGAAACAAGCACACAUAAUAGUUUUGGCAGACCAUUAUGUUGAAUCAAUAGCUAAUUGGAUCCACGUUCAAAAUUUAGCAAAGCACGUGCUGCUACAAAUUAAAUAAGUCUGAAUGCCCUUCGGAGCAUUUAACGAAAAUCACCCGAGCAACAUCAAUUUUAACAAAUAUCAGUUAUCUCAUUCGGAAAUAUCCUCAACAAAACUUGUUUCUUCGGGGUAUAGUAAACGCCUCCGGAUAAGCACGGUUCUUUUCGGGUAAGCACAGACUUCGGUCAUGGUUCUUCGGUGAAGUAACUCUGGGUUUCAAAUGAGAACAACGUUCACUCUUGGAUAUCUGAAUUUAAAAGUAUGUUCACUAUAGGUCAGUUCUA
rnacentral:lncRNA from 1 species